UCACAGGCUGGAUAGAAUGGCCUCAUGGGCUGGAUUUUGCCCACCCCUACUCUGACUCCUUCCCUUAGGCAACUGAGUCACUCUGCCCUCUGACCCUUGCCCAGUCACCAAGUAACAGGGUUCUAUUCUUCACCCUGUUACAUCCAUGGUAGACAAAACCUGAACCUUUCAUGGGGGGCGGAAAAGGGCAGGAAAGGCAUGAAGCCUUGUCGCAUUAACUUUCUUCAUAUCCAUCCUAAAAACCAUUCCUCUCCCCAUCUUUACUUUUAAUCUCAGAAUAUUUGAAUUACCUUUUAAGCUUGAAAGUACUGCCUUGAGAUUCUGUCUAUACUCAAAGCCUUUUCUUAACUUGAAUGGAUGUUUGAGGGCAUGUGUAUUCUACUUUGGAUCAUCCACACUGAGAAUUCAAGCUUCCCCUAAUACACUGACUCCCCCAUAGAGGUGCAACCCAAUGGGAUCAUAUGUCUCUUUGACUUGCCCACUUACUGCUAAUUAGUAGGGACAGAGCUUUACUAAGACUAACUUUUUCAUUGCCUAGACUGGGUACAUAGAUAUUUAAGCAGUACAGAAUUCUGUUUGAAUUCUCUUGGACCAGGGUUCUGGUUCACCUGCUGGCCAACCAAAGUAUAGCUUGAGACCAAUCCUAAAUUACUUACCUAAAAUGUAGAUUGUUACCUGGUGAGGGCAUGUAUGGGUCCUCACUGUAGGAAUUGGAGUUGUUUGUGCAUCUUGCUGUGGUAAACCUAUUAUGGGGCUGUGUGCAUCUAGCAGGCGUUUGAUGUCGGCUUGGAUACUUGAGAUAUAACAUUAAUAUUAAGCUGCACUUCAGUUGUCCACUGUAUGGAUGCUGUCCCUCAUGUGCUUCUCUGAACAUGUGCACUCUUUCCUUCUAAUUCAAAGAACCAUAGGAAAGAAUUCUUAUAGAAUAGGAAAGGCUUCUCACAGAAAAGUAAAGUUAUUUGUUAAUAAGUUGUAUAGGAUUUAAAUGUUAAUGCCUAUCAUAUCCUAUUGUAAUGCAUCAAACUGGCUUUAAAUAAAGAUGAUAGAU